UACAGAGGGGGCAAGCGUUAUUCGGAAUUAUUGGGCGUAAAGGGCGCGUAGGCGGCCUGGCAAGUGGAAGGUGAAAUCCCUCGGCUUAACCGAGGAACUGCCCUCCAAACUGCUUGGCUUGAGACCGGGAGAGGUGAGUGGAAUUCCCAGUGUAGCGGUGAAAUGCGUAGAUAUUGGGAGGAACACCAGUGGCGAAGGCGGCUCACUGGACCGGUACUGACGCUGAGGCGCGAAAGCCAGGGGAGCAAACGGGG
rnacentral:rRNA from 1 species